UACGUAGGCAGCGAGCGUUGUUCGGAGUUACUGGGCGUAAAGAGUGCGUAGGCGGUUUUCUAAGUUUGGUGUGAAAUCUCCCGGCUUAACUGGGAGGGUGCGCCGAAGACUGGCAAGCUCGAGUGCAGGAGAGGAACGCGGAAUUCCAGGUGUAGCGGUGAAAUGCGUAGAUAUCUGGAGGAACACCGGUGGCGAAGGCGGCAUCCUGGACCAACACUGACGCUGAGGAGCGAAAGCCAGGGGAGCAAACGGG
rnacentral:rRNA from 1 species